rnacentral:rRNA from 1 species
AUUGAACGCUGGCGGCAGGCCUAACACAUGCAAGUCGAGCGAGCGGCGGACGGGUGAGUAAUGUCUGGGAAACUGCCUGAUGGAGGGGGAUAACUACUGGAAACGGUAGCUAAUACCGCAUACCAUCAGAUGUGCCCAGAUGGGAUUAGCUAGUAGGUGGGGUAACGGCUCACCUAGGCGACGAUCCCUAGCUGGUCUGAGAGGAUGACCAGCCACCCGGGAACUGAGACACGGUCCAGACUCCUACGGUGGGCAGCAGUGGGGAAUAUUGCACAAUGGGCGCAAGCCUGAUGCAGCCAUGCCGCGUGUGUGAAGAAGGCCUUCGGGUUGUAAAGCACUUUCAGCGAGGAGGCGUUACUCGCAGAAUAAGCACCGGCUAACUCUGUGCCAGCCGCCGCGGUAAUAC